rnacentral:tRNA from 1 species
GCCUUUAUAGUUCAAAGGUAGAGCAAAAUAUUCUGAAUAUAUUGAUAGAUGUUCAAUUCAUCUUGAGGGCU